AAUGAGUCUUUAUUACAUCGUUAUUGUAUAGAAGGUCUAUUACUUGGUUCCUAUUGAUGUAUCAUUGUUUCAAAGUAUCAAAAAUGUGGUGGCGACCGAAAUAACAAUCUCAAAGAUUAGUUGAACUAAGUGAUGGAAGUUCUCUCUUAUCGGGUGGUAUCCCAGGGGCAUAAGCCUAGCAUGGGUCGAUCCCUGUUUAUGUGUUUAUGGGUGGUAUCCCAGGGGCAUAAGCCUAUCAUGGGUCAAUCCCAGUUGAUAUGUACUGGAGGCAGCCUAAUGGUCACAGUACAGUACAGUAAUGAUUACAAAGAUGAUAAGAACGAAGGUAAAGUGAUUGAAUAAAUACAAUGUAUAGGUUGUCACAAGUUUUAGUAAGUGUGGUCCACUACUAUUAUGAUUUAUUCACUUAUUU
rnacentral:lncRNA from 1 species